UACGGAGGAUCCAAGCGUUAUCCGGAUUCAUUGGGUUUAAAGGGUGCGUAGGCGGAAUGAUAAGUCAGUGGUGAAAUCCUGCAGCUUAACUGCAGAACUGCCAUUGAUACUGUCAAUCUUGAGUACAUUUGAUGUGGGCGGAAUGUGUCAUGUAGCGGUGAAAUGCUUAGAUAUGACAUAGAACACCAAUUGCGAAGGCAGCUGGCUACACAAAUAUUGACACUGAGGCACGAAAGCGUGGGGAUCAAACAGG
rnacentral:rRNA from 1 species